rnacentral:lncRNA from 10 species
GCAGGAUAUAAGAUUGGAUGUACUGUGAUUUUCUUUCUGUAGGUCUUGCAGGAAGCAGGAGUCACACUUGAGCUGGAGGGCCAUCUCUCUCAAGAUAGAACUACAGUGUGUCUCUUCAUUCUCAGGAACAGGAUCAACAGCUUCCAACUAUGGAGUUUUGCUCUUGUUGUCCACGCUGGAGUGCAAUGGUGCGAUCUCAGCUCACCACAACCUCUGCCUCCUGGGUUCAAGUGAUUCUCCUGCCUCAACCUCCCGAGUAGCUGGGAUUACAGGCAUGUGCCACCACGUCUGGCUAAUUUUGUAUUUUUAGUAGAGACAGGGUUUCUCCAUGUUGGUCAGGCUGGUCUCGAACCCCCAACCUUAAGUGAUCCGCCUGCCUCGGCCUCCCAAAGUGCUGGGAUUACAGGCGUGAGCCACUGUGCCUGGCCGAGAUUUCAUCUCUUCAGAAACAGAGUUGAACUGGGACCCCAUUUGGAGAAAGCUUGGGGCAGUGAGAAGCAAAGUGCAAUCUGGUAGAAUCUCUCAGUAGCUGGUUCCCUGGGCCACUUAACCUUUCUACGUCUCUCUCUCUCUCUCUCUCGAUUUGUAAAACAGGAGCAAUGAUACUUACCUUGUAGGUAAGUGACAUGCAGGCAGGUACUUAAAGUAAAGCAGUAUAUGAAAACUUCUAAGAUAUGAGGAAGCAGGAAAUGACACUCACGGCUAACACAUUCACUAGAGUUUUGUCUCUCUCUGUGUGUGUGUGAUUAUUUCUUCUUGGAAUAUGUCUUCAACUGUCAAAAUCUCCUUACAAUUCCAGAUUAAACACCUUUGGUCUCUGAUAGUCACAGCCAGGUUCCUACCUGGGAAUAACUAAAAAAUGUUCCACAUGUAACAAACUGCAGCUUGAAGUUUCCGUUACAUUGAGCAGUCCUGUGCAUCUAGGUCUUCUGUUCAAGCGUGAAGUUUGAUGAAGCUGCUCGAGCUCAUGAAAUCUGUAGUUGUCACAAGGCUUAGAGGGGCAGUUAAUACCUAGAUUUACUUUGUGGGACAAGUGCAGUGAUGUAUUUAUAGUCUAGAAUGACAAUUGUACAAAUACAGAAUGGGCAGCACUUUACCUACUGAUAAAUUUGCAUUAAAUUUACAAACAUGCAGGCACUGGGGCUGUAAAACGACACGAGGUUGUUCAUUGACAGAUGAAUGGAUAAACGAAUUGUGGUACAUCCACACAAUGGAAUAGUAUUCAGCUUUGGAAAGGAAGGAGAUUAUGACACAUGCUAUAACAUGGAUGAACUUUGAAGACGUUAUGCUGAGCAAAACAUGCCAGUCACAGAGGGGAACAUACUCUAUGAUUCCACUUAUACGAGGGUCUAGAGCAGUCAAAUUCAUGGAGACAAAAAGUAGAAUGGUGGGUGCCAGGGUCUCCGGGGAGGGACAGAAAGGGAGCUAGUGUUUAAUGGGGGGACAUCAUUUCAGUUUGGAAGGAUGAAGGUCUCUGGUGAUGGAUGGUGGUGAUGGUGGCACAACAAUGUGAAUGGACUUAGUGCCACUGAAGUCUACACUUAGACAUGGUGAAAACGGUAAAUCUUGUGUUAUGUGUAGUUCACUACAAUUAAAAAAAAAAAGACAAGGAAGUCAGUCACAAAGGUUCACAUAUGACAGGAAGCCAUUUCUAUGAAACGCCCAGAGAGGUAAAUCCAUAGAGACAGAAAGUGCAUUUGUGGUUUCCAGGGGCUGGGAGGAGGAGUAAAUGGGGCGUGACUGCUAAUGGGAGGAGGAGUCUUUGUGAGGAUGAUGAAAUUCUUUUUGGAACUGGGUAGAGAUGGUGGUUGCACAACAUUGCAAAUGUACUUAAUGACACUGAGCUGUACACUUUAGAGUGGUUAAAAUAGUAAAUGUAAUGUGAUGUCUAUUUCACCACAGUGAAAGCAACCCCCACCCCCGCAGUGUGCUGCAGAUGUGCACCUGCAGGCAGGUGGUGUUUUCGUUCCCCGUUGCUGCCGUAACAAAUUAUCACAAACCCGCUGCUUCAAGCAACACAGAUCUAUCGUCUUACAGUUCUGGAGGUCAGAAGUCUAAAAUAGGAAGUUCUAGGGGAAGAACCCUUUUCCUUGCCUUUCCUGUCACCUUGAGGCUGCCUGAAUUCCUUGGCUCUUGGCUCCUUCCGUCUUCAAAGCCAGCAACAUCCGGUUGAGUCCUUCUCUGGCGGCAUCAUUCUGACACUGACUCUUCUUCCUCCCUCUCCCUCACUUAAGGACCCUUGUCCUUCAAGUGUAAAGACCUGGCCAAUCCAGGAUAAUCUCCCCACCCAUCUCACAUCUGCCCAAUCGCUAUUGUCAUGUAAGGUAACAUAUGUGCAGCUCCCAGGGGUUAGGCCACGAACAUCUUUGGGGGCUGUUACUGUGCCACCACAGGCAGUAACGAGCUGAGUCUUGUGCACCCUGCUCAAGGGCUGGGUCCUGCAGAUGAGGUGAGGAGAUACUUCUGGCAUCCUUAUGGCUCCCUGUUUGAUUCUGGGGGGGCCCCUAGGCAAAGGCCAGGCUCUGCUAAUCUGGGCCAGGAGCUCUCCUCUCUGCUCUCCCUGACUUCUGUGCUCACUGGCCCUGCAGUGGCAAGGAAAAGGAUUCGUCCCUUAGAACUUCCCGUUUUGGACUUCUGACCUCCAGAACUGUAAGGCAGGGCAGGGAUAUCAGAGAGUUCAGACCCAGGAGGUGCCCACAAGGGCACUGAGCAUGCGAAGACUUCCAGGCAGUCAGCUCUUCAUCCCCAUCACAUUCUUUCUAGCCGAGGGAAAUCCUCCAGAUGCAGCGAGUGUGGCAAAGCCUGCCGCCGCCUCUCGGGCUGGACUCCAAGGCAGAGGGCAACCCCUGAGAAGCACGGCCAUGCACAAGCUGAGACAGGGCCAGGGUCAUGGCUGAAUUGUGCCCCCCCCACCUGCACCUCCCCCCCCCCAAAAAAAAAAACACACAUGGCCUCAUCCUCACCUUCUGAUCUUGCAAAUGUGACCUUAUUUGGAAAAGGGGUCUUUGCAGAGAUCAUGAAGUUGAGCAUUUUGAGAGGAGAUGAUCCUACAUUACCCGAGUGGGCCUUAAAUCCAAUCACAAAUGUCCUUAUAGGAACCAAACAGAGGAGAAACGCAGACAUGGAGACCCAGGGGAGAAAGCCACAUGAAGAAGGAGGUGGAGAUUAGGGCCAGGAGGCCACAGGCCAAGGGACACCUGGGGCCACUGGAAGCUGGGAGAGACGAGGAAGGAUCAUCCCCUGGAGCCUUCCCAGGGAGCACGGCCCUGCAGACAGCUUGGUUUUAGACUUCUGGCCUCCAGAACUGGGACAGAAUCAGUUUCUGUGGAGUGAUUGGGUCAACUGGUUUGUGGUGCUUUCUUACGGCAGCCGAGGGAAGCACACAGAGGCAGAUGUAUUUAGAGGGGUACCCCCUGCUGCAAGCCUCCUGGGGCAGGGGCCAUGCCACUCUCCUUCUUGAACUCUGCUGGCCACAUUGUGCUCGCUCAGGAAACGGGUGCUGAGUCUACUGCUGCUUGAGGCAGAGCUUACGGAUUUGUAACUGCUUCUGUGUGGUGGCAGCUCCUCCUUGCCCAGCUCCUCCUUGCCCAGCUCAUCCUAUAUCAAUGAUGCUGCCGCCACAAAACAUCCCCCCAACCCAGCCAAACUCCUCCUGUCUGCCUGCACCUCUUAUCUCUGCUCACCACGGGGCCCCUCCAAGGGGCCGUCUUUGCUUCCAUCUCCCGCUGUGGGCUGGCAGACACUGGCACUCCUAAGGCUCUUUUGGCAUCCCUAGAGGACCCAACAGACACCUCCCCACCAAAGAAGUGCACACCUAGAUAUGUCUAAAUCACACACGUCACUGCUGUAAUAUGGUACUUACUAUCCCAUGAAACAUCCACAAACUAGACACUCAGAAAGUGGUGUUGGAAUAAGGGAGGUUCUAUGGCCCUUCUUCUCCUGCCCCCCACCCAUGCGCCGCCCACCAUUCCUUUCCGUGGACCACUGACCUUCAAGUUUGAACACAGAACGGGCAAGUGGCCUUUGGAGCUGAGGGUGGGACGUGGCCUUUGGAGCUGAGGGUGGGUCAUGGCCUGUUGAGAAGAGCAGGGCCAAGGAAGGAUGGAAGCCUGAGAGACACUGGCAGGGGGUGGAGAAAGGCCUCCUCUCUGCCUGGCACCUCAUUCAUUCACUUAUCCAUUCAUUCAUUCUCCAGGCCCAGCCCCGCCUGUGGGCCUAUGGUGCCACCUCCAGAGCAUGGAUCCUGCCCUCUGAGCUGUUGUUAAUGACUUAGAUUUAUCUUCCGCUCGGGAGCUCUCUUCCUCUGGUGUAAGCAUUAUUCUUUUAGUAUUUUUUCAGUGCCUGGCACUGUGCUAGGCACUAGGGAUCCACAUUACGGCUAAAGCAUCGUCCCUGCCCCUGGGGGAGGCUCUUGAGGGAAACAGGCACUGCACAGGCCAUUGCCCUGGAGCACAGAGGUGUGGCACUCAGCUCCUUGUGGGGUUUAAGAAAAGGGUCCCUGUAGGAUGCAGAACUCAUUGUCUCCCCUGCACCCCAAUAAAAGAAGGAAGGAAAAGGAAGCCGUGCUCUUCUUUCUACAUUCCAUGGCUUCAUCAUGGACAUCCACACAGUGACCCAGCUGGACAAGCCCAAAGCCUGGCCUGCUCCUGGACGGCACCCUCUCCCCAUCACAUAGCUCCACUCAGAAAUGCUUCUUGGCCCGCCGCAACUUCCACACCCUGGUCCUGGCCACCAGCUGGUCUCUUUGGGGCCAUUUCAGUCCCUUUCCAGUCCCUCCACCACCCUGUAGCCAGAAUGAGCUUCAUAAAUAACAUGGACCCAUGACCGGGUCACUUCCUUGCUGAAAACACCUCCGUGUCAGCCCUCCACUGCCUUUAGGAUCAAGUCCCUGUGUUAUACAGGUAGCUAGCCAUGAGUGGGGCAGGUGAGGGCUCUUCCCCCUACCCACUGGAAAUGUCGGGUGACGGUUCAGCAGUUAUCGCAUCGCCUCUCUAAAAGUAGUGCCGGCGCCAGACAGAGGCCAGUUCCUGACGGUCCGUACCUGUUAACAUUAAAGUGUUGAUUAAAGGCAGGCCCCAAGGGAGAAGCAACUUCCUGGGCACGCACAUUAAGAGACAAAAAUGCUGAAGUAUUUUAUGAUCUCGCGGACACACGCCACUGGAAAAAGGGAAAAAGCCUGAGGUGGGCAUGCGUACAAAUCCCACAACACACUGGGCAGGUGCAGUUCUCAAGGGUAAGGAGGACACGGUGCGUGCAGAAAGCCCACCCUAAGGGAAGAAUCAUCGGAAAGAUGUGAGCCUAUAAAGUCCCAGGGUCAAGGGGAAAGGCCCUUUUUUCUCUUUCUCUUUGACCUUCAGGUGCCCACUUGGAUCUCUUCCAAGGGUUCUUUCCUAUUCUAAAACCUUUUUUUAAUAAACUUACACUCCUGCUCUGGAACUCACCUCGGUCCCCCUUUCUGCCCUAUACCCCUCAGUUGAAUGCUUUCUUCUGAGGAGGCGAGAAUUGCAGUUACUGCAGACGCGUACAGAUUCGCCACCAGUAACUCGGGGUAACGAGGAUCUCUGCCACCGCUGACACCUGUUCCUUCAUGAGAUUUAGAAAGUCUCUUCUGUAACAGAAAGGUGACGUGCCUGCUCCCCCUUUGCCUUCUGCCAUGAUUGCAAGCUUCCUGAGGCCUCCCCAGAAGCAGAGUAGAUGCCAACACCAUGCUUCCUGUACAGCCUGCGGAACCGUGAGCCAAUUAAAC